rnacentral:sRNA from 1 species
AUUUAAUAAAAUAUAACUUGUUAUAUGUAUUACUCUAAACACUAUCUAAUCUAUAUAUACAUUUUUGUAGUCAUUUUAUGAAAUAAAUCCUGCAAUUGGAACUUAUUUACAAUGGCUGCCACUGACUUAUUAAAUGCAAAAAUUAACUACCAAAUCAAAGCAAAUCUUAUUCAAAAGAAUAUGCUUUUAUUUCAUGGCCUAAUUAUUUUUGCCAAAAUGGUUA